UGUCAAAAUAAAAUAUUGCAAUGACAAAAAAUAAAACUGUAUUUUUCAAAACAAACCUGAAUUUUGAAAAUAAGCCAUUUGUGUUUGGUUCCAAAAGAAGUUUAAUUACAGGGGGAGCUACUUGUUUUAACAGCUGGAUGCUAAUGAAUGCAUGAGGACAAUGAUAAUACAUGUAAAUGCAAUAAAGUCAUCCUUCAUAGCAAGAAUAGAACUAACCUCACCUGAAAUUGGGGCAUCUAGCUGAGUAUAUCAGGAUUCUUCUGGUUGCAGAACCUAUUCAAACUUGUUCGUCAGACAGAGGUUUCAUCUGCCUGCAGGAAGUGUUCCUGGACGUAACCAAGGGUCAGGCUGCUUAUUCUCAUGGCCCAAUAAUGAGAUGCAGAUGAACUGGGAAAGAAGAGAGUUUAUUUCUGCAACCAGCUUCAGGGAGAAGGCCAGGAAAAUAUUGCCAGACCAGCUCAAAAUUACAAAGUUUUCCAAAGCUCAUGUACCUUCUAAGUCUACGUGCUCCACUGGCAGACAGCAGAGAAGGGGAGAAGAGGAGAAGCAGCUGGACAUUGAAGACUCUGGUUUGACAUAAGAGAGAAGCAGCUUCACUUCAGAGGGACAACUUGACAUUGGGACAUCAGGGGAAGAAUGCCUUCUUCCUACUCCAUCCCCUUUCCAGCUCCCCCUCUCACUGAGAGCCACUUCCAUCAGCAAUAAAAUCCCCCACAUUUACUA